ensembl:snoRNA SNORA70 Small nucleolar RNA SNORA70
UUGCAGGCAAUUAAACCGACUGUGCUCUCUUCCCCGUAGGAGCCUGGUGUGCAAUGGCUACAGAAAGCAACCUCCUUGACAAUGUAUUCAGCCUGUUGCCUGUAUGGGUUGCCCUAAGGGACCUUGGAGACAGCC